rnacentral:rRNA from 1 species
GAAUUCGAUUUUCCGGUUGAUCCUGCCGGACCCGACUGCUAUUUGGGUGAGGAUAAGCCAUGCGAGUCGAAUGGGAUACCUAAAUUUCCCAUGGCAGACUGCUCAGUAACACAUGAUCAACUUACCCUAUGGAAAAAAAUAACCUCGGGAAACUGAGGAUAAUGUUUUAUAGUUGAAAAGGCUUGGAAAAGUUUUUCAAUGAAAGGGAUAAGAAAAAUGGUUUUUAUUCGCCAUAGGAUAGGAUCGUGGUCGAUUAUGGUAGUUGGUGAGGUAACGGCUCACCAAGCCGAUAAUCGAUAGGGGCCGUGAGAGCGGGAGCCCCGAGAUGGGUACUGAGACAGCGACCCAGGCCUUACGAGGCGCAGCAGGCGCGAGACCUCCGCAAUACACGAAAGUGUGACGGGGUUACCCAAAGUGUUCAUAAUUGAACUGUGGUAGGUGAGUAAUGUCCCCUACUAGAAAGGAGAGGGCAAGGCUGGUGCCAGCCGCCGCGGUAAAACCAGCUCUUCAAGUGGUCGGGACAAUUAUUGGGCUUAAAGUGUUCGUAGCCGGUUUAGUAAGUUCCUGGUAAAAUCGGGUAGCUUAACUAUCUGUAUGCUAGGAAUACUGCUAUACUAGAGGGCGGGAGAGGUCUGAGGUACUACAGGGGUAGGGGUGAAAUCUUAUAAUCCUUGUAGGACCACCAGUGGCGAAGGCGUCAGACUGGAACGCGCCUGACGGUGAGGGACGAAAGCCAGGGGAGCGAACCGGAUUAGAUACCCGGGUAGUCCUGGCCGUAAACGAUGCAUACUAGGUGAUGGC